rnacentral:rRNA from 1 species
GACGAACGCUGGCGGCGUGCUUAACACAUGCAAGUCGAACGGAAAGGCCCUGCUUUUGUGGGGUGCUCGAGUGGCGAACGGGUGAGUAACACGUGAGUAACCUGCCCUUGACUUUGGGAUAACUUCAGGACACUGGGGCUAAUACCGGAUGGGAGUUCCUGAUGUAUGGUGGGGGUUGGAAAGUUUCGGCGGUUGGGGGGGGACUCGCGGCUUAGCAGCUUGGUGGUGGGGUAGUGGCUUACCAAGGCUUUGACGGGUCGCCGGCCUGAGAGGGUGACCGGCCACAUUGGGACUGUGAUACGGCCCAGACUCCGACGGGAGGCAGAAGGGGGGAAUAUUGCACAAGGGGCGGAAGCCUGAUGCAGCACCGCCGCGUGCGGGAUGACGGCCGUCGUGUUGUAAACCGCUUGCGCCUGUGACGAAGCGUGAGUGACGGUAAUGGGUAAAGAAGCACCGGCUAACUACGUG